rnacentral:rRNA from 1 species
GGACGAACGCUGGCGGCGUGCUUAACACAUGCAAGUCGAGCGGUAAGGCCUUUCGGGGUACACGAGCGGCGAACGGGUGAGUAACACGUGGGUGAUCUGCCCUGCACUCUGGGAUAAGCCUGGGAAACUGGGUCUAAUACCGGAUAUGACCUGCUCUCGCAUGGGGGUGGGUGGAAAGAUUUA